rnacentral:rRNA from 1 species
AAGAAACCAACAGGGAUUGCCCUAGUAACGGCGAGUGAAGCGGCAACAGCUCAAAUUUGAAAUCUGGCCUCUUUUGGGGUCCGAGUUGUAAUUUGCAGAGGGCGCUUUGGAGUCGGCAGCGGUCCAAGUUCCUUGGAACAGGACGUCACAGAGGGUGAGAAUCCCGUACGUGGUCGCUAGCCUUCUCCGUGUAAAGCCCCUUCGACGAGUCGAGUUGUUUGGGAAUGCAGCUCUAAAUGGGAGGUAAAUUUCUUCUAAAGCUAAAUAUUGGCCAGAGACCGAUAGCGCACAAGUAGAGUGAUCGAAAGAUGAAAAGCACUUUGGAAAGAGAGUCAAAAAGCACGUGAAAUUGUUGAAAGGGAAGCGCUUGCAGCCAGACUUGCCUGUAGUUGCUCAUCCGGGCUUUUGCCCGGUGCACUCUUCUAUAGGCAGGCCAGCAUCAGUUUGGGCGGUUGGAUAAAGGUCUCUGUCAUGUACCUCUCUUCGGGGAGAACUUAUAGGGGAGACGCCAUGCAACCAGCUCAGACUGAGGUCCGCGCAUUCGCUAGGAUGCUGGCGUAAUGGCUGUAAGCG